rnacentral:rRNA from 1 species
UACGGAAGGUGCAAGCGUUAAUCGGAAUUACUGGGCGUAAAGCGCGCGUAGGCGGCUUCGUAAGUCGGGUGUGAAAGCCCCGGGCUCAACCUGGGAAUGGCAUUUGGGACUGCAAGGCUGGAGUGUGGCAGAGGAGACUGGAAUUCCUGGUGUAGCAGUGAAAUGCGUAGAUAUCAGGAGGAAUACCGAUGGCGAAGGCAGGUCUCUGGGCUAACACUGACGCUCAUGCACGAAAGCGUGGGGAGCAAACAGG